rnacentral:pre_miRNA from 1 species
ACAGUACUCUCUCCGUCCCAAAAUUCUUGUCUUAAAUUUGUCUAGAUACGGAUGUAUCAAGUCACAUUUUAGUAUUAGAUACAUCCGUAUCUAGACAAAUCUAAGACAAGAAUUUUGGGAUGGAGGGAGUAUGUG